rnacentral:rRNA from 1 species
UGGCUCAGAUUGAACGCUGGCGGCAGGCUUAGCACAUGCAAGUCGAGCGGGGAUAGGGUGCUUGCACCUGAUUCCUAGCGGCGGACGGGUGAGUAAUGCUUAGGAAUCUGCCUAGUUAGUGGGGGGACAACGUUCCGAAAGGGACGCUAAUACCGCAUACGUCCUACGGGAGAAAGCAGGGGAUCUUCGGACCUUGCGCUAAUAGAUGAGCCUAAGUCGGAUUAGCUAGUUGGUGGGGUAAAGGCCUACCAAGGCGACGAUCUGUAGCGGGUCUGAGAGGAUGAUCCGCCACACUGGGACUGAGACACGGCCCAGACUCCUACGGGAGGCAGCAGUGGGGAAUAUUGGACAAUGGGGGCAACCCUGAUCCAGCCAUGCCGCGUUGUGUGAAGAAGGCCUUUUGGUUGUAAAGCACUUUAAGCGAGGAGGAGGCUUACCUGGUUAAUACCCGGGAUAAGUGGACGUUACUCGCAGAAUAAGCACCGGCUAACUCUGUGCCAGCCGCCGC